rnacentral:lncRNA from 1 species
GCUUUUGGGUAAUUAGCGUGUUUAGGCUAAUUACGAUUUUGUAUGGGACUGUGCAUAGGUUCGGGUGAUAGUGAAGAAGCAUCUGCAGAGGGUCGACGACCCGGGUACUUCAUACGGUAGAGGUGGGUGUUUCGAGCUGGUAGUCGGUGAGAUCGUUUCACUUUUCUCUUAUCUUCUCUUGCACUUACAUAUCAGUAUCUUUUUCUCUCCAUGUUGUUUUGCCUUUGUUUACUGUUCGCAUACAUAUU